rnacentral:tRNA from 1 species
GGGGCUGUAGCUCAAUGUAGAGCUGAUCGCCAUGCGAUUGUAAUAGUAGUCUUGUCGGGCGGUCGCAUCGCGUGCGUACCAAAAUAUCGACAGAUUCGUGCAGGUGCAAGUCCUGUCAGCUCCA